UGGAUGAAUUCUUGGUCUCUGUUCUCUAAAGGAUGAAAACGGUUUCCGCAAUAAAUUUCUCCAGGAGAAAAGAAAGACAAUGAUUCCUGUCCAAAUGUCGAUUCUACACCCUCCGGCAAGGUUGCAAGGUUUAUCUCCGCCACUCGGAGGCAUGAUGGGGUUAUGUGAAAAGUCAAAACAAACGAACAAGGUCACACGUGCAAUUCGUGGCGAGUAAGGCUAAAAAUAAAUGUCCUUUUCUGAAGUGUACUCUGUCGUAGUGGAAUCGAAAUGAAGAAGAAUGUGUUCUUUGAAGCAAGUGUGUUAGGUUUAUAAACAUUUCAACGUCUUGAUACAAUCUCGAGUCCUGAUGUGGAUCCAGUCAAGGUUGAGUGCUGUUUCGAACGUCAAAAGAGGUGGUCAGCUUUGUUCGUCAGCAGGCCCCUUAUGAUUAACGCAGGGAUGUUGAUGUCAGAAUGGUGAAAGGAUUGAUUGUAUAAUGCUCUGUUGGGCUCAAAUUUUGAUUCCAUUAGCAACUGCUUUGAUAGUUGCAACUAUAUUUACAUACUAUUAUUUUCAUUAUAAAAAGUGAAAAAUAAAUUAAAUUGAAACACAA